rnacentral:rRNA from 1 species
UGGGGAAUAUUGGACAAUGGGCGAAAGCCUGAUCCAGCGACGCCGCGUGAGCGAAGAAGUAUUUCGGUAUGUAAAGCUCUAUCAGCAGGGAAGAUAAUGACGGUACCUGACUAAGAAGCACCGGCUAAAUACGUGCCAGCAGCCGCGGUAAUACGUAUGGUGCAAGCGUUAUCCGGAUUUACUGGGUGUAAAGGGAGCGUAGGCGGCAGGGCAAGUCUGAUGUGAAAGCCCGGGGCUCAACCCCGGGACUGCAUUGGAAACUGCUCGGCUAGAGUGUCGGAGGGGUAAGCGGAAUUCCUAGUGUAGCGGUGAAAUGCGUAGAUAUUAGGAGGAACACCAGUGGCGAAGGCGGCUUACUGGACGAUCACUGACGCUGAGGCUCGAAAGCGUGGGGAGCAAACAGG